GAGGGUAUAGCUCAGUGGUAGAGUGCUUGCUAAACAUGCACGAGGUCUUGGGUUCAAUCCCCAGUACUUCUA
rnacentral:tRNA from 1 species